GGGUGUUUGGGAUUCCUUAUUUUGCAAAAACUUUUAACUUAUUGUCUUCAAUCCUCCUCCAACAACCUAUCUGCCGCCUUCAUGAAUCCUCAUCAUCCCCAGCUUCAAUUACUCCCCCAUCUACCAUUCAUACUAGCUUCAAUUAAUCACCCCCAAUCUCUGCCGAUCUGCCUGCCACACUGAAGACGACGACGUACAACUGGUUUGACGCUCCAUUCUUCCGUAAAACACUAAAACCCUAAAGAUCAUCAUCAUCAUCAUCUGCAAAAGACAGAAAAACUUGGAUCUCCAUGUGGUUCCUCCACCGUUAAGAGACAGCUGCAACACCAAAGGUGUUUAAGCUACUAGCGUGCUAGGGAAGUGAGGCAAUAAUA